UACGUAGGUGGCAAGCGUUGUCCGGAUUUACUGGGCGUAAAGGGCGUGCAGGCGGUUUGUUAAGUCUAGGGUGAAAGCUCCCGGCUCAACUGGGAGAGGUCCUUGGAUACUGGCAGACUUGAGGGAGGCAGAGGAAAGUGGAAUUCCCGGUGUAGUGGUGAUAUGCGUAGAUAUCGGGAGGAACACCAGUGGCGAAAGCGGCGACCUGGACAAGUACUGACACUCAACUACGAAAGCGUGGGGAGCAAACAGG
rnacentral:rRNA from 1 species